rnacentral:rRNA from 1 species
CUAAGCCAUGCGAGUCUUUGUAGUAAUACAAGGCAGACGGCUCAGUAACACGUAGUCAACCUACCCUAUGGACGAGAAUAAUCUCGGGAAACUGAGCAUAAUUCUUGAUAGAUCAUAAUGCCUGGAAUGGUUUAUGGUUAAAAUGAUUCGUCGCCAUAGGAUGGGACUGCGGCCUAUCAGCUUGUUGGUGAGGUAAUGGCCCACCAAGGCGAUUACAGGUACGGGCUCUGAGAGGAGAAGCCCGGAGAUGGGUACUGAGACACGGACCCAGGCCCUAUGGGGCGCAGCAGGCGAGAAAACUUUGCAAUGUGCGAAAGCACGACAAGGUUAAUCCGAGUGAUUUCUGCUAAAGAAAUCUUUUGCCAGUCGUAAAACCGCUGGUGAAUAAGGGGUGGGCAAGUUCUGGUGUCAGCCGCCGCGGUAAAACCAGCACCUCAAGUGGUCAGGAUGAUUAUUGGGCCUAAAGCAUCCGUAGCCGGCUUUGUAAGUUUUCGGUUAAAUCCAUGUGCUCAACGCAUGGGCUGCCGAAAAUACUGCAUAGCUAGGGAGUGGGAGAGGUAGACGGUACUCAGUAGGUAGGGGUAAAAUCCUUUGAUCUAUUGAUGACCACCUGUGGCGAAGGCGGUCUACCAGAACACGUUCGACGGUGAGGGAUGAAAGCUGGGGGAGCAAACCGGAUUAGAUACCCGGGUAGUCCCAGCUGUAAACGAUGCAGACUCGAUGAUGCAUUGG